rnacentral:rRNA from 1 species
UGUUAAAUCUUGAAGCUCAACUUCAAAAUGGCAGUGGAAACUAUUAGACUAGAGUAUAGUAGGGGUAAAGGGAAUUUCCAGUGGAGCGGUGAAAUGCGUAGAUAUUGGGAAGAACACCGAUGGCGAAGGCACUUUACUGGGCUAUUACUGACACUCAGAGACGAAAGCUAGGGGAGCAAAUGGGAUUAGAUACCCCAGUAGUCCUAGC